rnacentral:rRNA from 1 species
GGGGACAACUCCGGGAAACUGGAGCUAAUACCGAAUGUGGUCCUGCGGCGCAUGUCGCAGACACUAAAGGGGGGGACUCUUCGGAGCCUCCCGCUAGAAGAGGGGCCCGCGUGCCAUUAGCUAGUUGGUGAGGUAACGGCCCACCAAGGCGUAUGGCUAGCUGGUCUGAGAGGACGACCAGCCACACUGGGACUGAGACACUGCCCAGACUCCUACGGGAGGCUGCAGUCGAGGAUCUUGGACAAUGCGCGAAAGCGUGAUCCAGCGACGCUGCGUGGAGGAUGAAGGCCUUCGGGUUGUAAACUCCUGUCAUUCGGGACAAAUGGCUCCGCCGUGAACAACGGCGGGGUAUGAUGGUACCGGAAGGGGAAGCCACGGCUAACUCUGUGCCAGCAGCCGCGGUAAUACAGAGGUGGCGAGCGUUGUUCGGAUUUACUGGGCGUAAAGGGUGUGUAGGCGGUCUCGUGUGUCGGGUGUGAAAUCCCACGGCCUAACCGUGGAAUUGCAUCCGAAACUGCGGGGCUAGAGUGCAGGAUGGGAGAGCGGAAUUCUUGGUGUAGCGGUGAAAUGCGUUGAUAUCAAGAGGAACACCGGUGGCGAAGGCGGCUCUCUGGAAUGCAACUGACGCUCAGACACGAAAGUUGGGGGAGCAAACAGGAUUAGAUACCCUGGUAGUCCCAACCCUAAACGGUGUGCACUUGGUGUUGGAGGAAUUGACCCCUCCAGUGCCGGAGCUAACGCGUUAAGUGCAUCGCCUGGGGAGUACGGCCGCAAGGCUAAAACUCAAAGAAAUUGACGGGGGCCCGCACAAGCGGAGGAGCAUGUGGCUCAAUUCGAUGCACGCGAAGAACCUUACCAGGGCUUGACAUGGUGCUGCAAGCCCCGUGAAAGCGGGGAAGCCUUCGAGGGUGCACCACAGGUGCUGCAUGGCUGUCGUCAGUUCGUGCCGUGAGGUGUUAGGUUAAGUCCCGCAACGAACGCAACCCCUAUGUUUAGUUGCCACCGGCGGUGAUGAGCCGCCGAGCACUCUAACCAGACUGCCCGUACAAGCGGGAGGAAGGUGGGGAUGACGUCAAGUCAGUAUGGCCCUUACGUCCUGGGCUGCACACGUGCUACAAUGGCCGGUACAGAGGGAUGCAAGACCGCGAGGUGGAGCAAAUCCUCAAAACCGUCCCCAGUUCAGAUUGAAGUCUGCAACUCGACUUCAUGAAGUUGGAUUCGCUAGUAAUGGCGCAUCAGCUACGGCGCCGUGAAUACGUUCCCGGGCCUUGUACACACCGCCCGUCACAUCAUGAAAGCCGUCUGCACCCGAAGUCGCUGAGCCAACCCGCAAGGGGGGCAGGCGCCGAAGGUGUGGGUGGUGAUUGGGAUGAAGUCGAAACAAGGUA